ACCCAGACAAGACCAGGGAUCUCCAGAUCCCUUCUGAGGGAUCAUGGAUCAGACUGGCUUCUGGAUCUUCAAAGGUGAACAUCUCCAGCUCCCUGAGGUACUGAAAGGUCCCAGAGGACAAAUCCUGCUUUAUAGGUGUGUACAUGCCCAGCCCUGCCAGGGACUGAACUCUUGUGUGCUAACCUAAGAGCUCCUAAUUAAAGCCAUCCACCUGCGGCUCACUUCAGGAGGCACCUCCAGAGGAUCAGAAGCAGAGUUCAUAAAGAUAUUUUAAAUUCUUCAUUCCAGGCUCAGAUUCAACUUAAAACAUGUUGCAAAUCAAGCCAAGAUGGCAACCUAUGUCUACAGCAUCAACACUUGAAGAUAUUAGCCAGAGGAUCUGUAGUUCAAGGUCAGCCGUGGCUGCAUGGGGAGUUUGAGGCUGGCCUCACCUAUAUAAGACCUGCUAUCAUCAGCCCUUAUGAAUACUUCCUCCCUGUAAACACCGAAAUAUUAAUCAGUGUUCUAGCUGAAGAAACUAU